rnacentral:tRNA from 1 species
GGGGAAGUGGCUCAGUGGUAGAGUGCUUGCCUCACAUGCAUAAGGCUCUGAGUUCGAUUCUUGGGUUCGACA